UCUAAAUUUUUUUGUAAUUCGAUUUUUAAUGUGUAAAAUUUAAUUAAGAGUCAAAAGUAAUGAUAAAUGAUUUUAUAUCAAGUUAUAAAAUUAGACUUAUGAUAUAAAAUUAUUAUAUAUCCUUUUAAGAAUUUUGAGGUAUUGGAUUAUAGAUAAAGAUUACUUAUAAGUUAAGUUUAGGGUUCAAAGUUUGAAAUAUAAAAUAGUUAUAUUUGAAAUUUUGUAAAAUUUAUUAUUAAUGUUUAAAUUUUUUCCUUAUUACUUGCUGUUUAUCUUUAAUUUAUCACCUAAAAUUAAAAGUUUAGGGUUUAAAGUAUGCUUAGGGUUUCAAUUUUCUACAAAUAGCCACAAAUCAUGUUGUGUCUUCUUAUUUUCCACAAUUGUUAUCGUAGCUAAUAGUAGAUAUACAAAACAAAUUGUGGCUAAUCACGGUUUUUUAAAUUCAAUUAGCUACAAAGUGUAAUUUGUGGCUAUUUAGCCACAAAAAUCUACGUAAUAGCUAUGGAUUUUAGUUUGUUGUUAUUUUGUGGCUAUUCGUAGCUUAAAAUCGUCGGCCACAAUUUUUUUGUAGCUAAUUUGUGGUUAUAUACAGAUUUUCUUGUAGUGGUACUCCUUCAACUUGGCAAUGUCGGAUUUAAAUUAGAAACAUCUCUCAACACUGGUCUAAAGGCAGAAUCGGAUUUGGUUCCAAUAGACAGAUCAGAAUCUGAUGGACUUUAACAUGUAGGUUGAUGAUUUGUUUUCCUCUUCCUUGUAUUGUCUUCUAUGUUCUUCAUGUUUGGUUGUAAUGGUAACUGCUUCUGGAGAAGUUAGUUUUCCAUGGGUUUUUUUCAGAAUCGAUCGACGUUCUCUGUUGAGUGUUAGGAUUACGUUUUUGAGCACGUGGGUUAGCUAAUUAACUUCUUUAUUAUUGGAUAAUUUAAUUAGUUUAAUAGUAUUGAUUUUCCUUUUUGAAACGAGAUAUCAAUAAAUAACAUGAAACCAGUAAAAUAAGUUAUUUGUCAUGAACUAUUAUUUUGUGCUGAUUUUCUCACACAAUUUUCAAACAUUUCUACUAAUAUAGAAGUUGCUCCAACCCGGCCACUCCCCUGUACCUGGAGGAAGAUAAACCAGAUGUAGCGGAGGAUGUUGAUCGGACCCAAAGAUAGAGUCCGACUCACAACAAAAUUCCAGGUUAUUACCUCAUCAAAUGAACUGUUGAGCAAGGCAGCUGCAUUUUCAGGGAUCACUCCGACUGCAAUCCAGUCAAGCAGCAUGAGGGUUGAUGGAGUGACAUCAGUGCCAUAGAUGAAAUUAAGCUUGUAUUGAUGAUUGGUGGGCCUGUAGGUAGCACCGGGGUUAGUAACGGAGAAAUUCUCAAUGUUUCUCCACAUUCCAACAUGUACUUUCUUUGCAAUCUUAUCCCAGUAUGUCUUCUUACGGGAUGCAUGAAUUUUUGUUCCCUUCACAAUAUAAAAGUCCAGCGAUUAGAUAGUAGA